CGAUUUCACUUCUAGAAUGUUUAAAAUGAGGCAUCUGAGAAGGAAAGGGUAUUGAUAGGACUGAAUGAAAAGAAAACACCCGGGAUCCUUAGGAAAAGGACACAGAAUGAACACAACUUGGUUUGUGAAGUAUCAGGACUAAAACGAAAUUCCAAGCCCCAUUCUGCUUCAAAGCCCUCUCCAUCCUGCCAGCCUCCACUAAACACGAUGAAACCCUUCCCUCACCUCCAGCGUUCAACUCCACUGAAGGAACUCAGGAUUAUUGUUUACCCAUCCGUGAACCUAUACUCGAAAAAACAUUAAAACCAAGACAAUCAUCAAGAACAGGACACUCUUAAACAUAUACAAGGAAGCAGAUGUUUAAUCUGGAUUGCAUUUAUACAUCUGCAAUCUAUCAAUGAAUCUUUUCAAAAUCUGUAAUGUGGUCCAUCAAAAUGGCUACACUGGAUGGCAAUCGUGGAUACUGACGCACUACUUGAAGAAAGCUGCUUCAGCGGGGUGCUCUGUUGCUAUUAUGCUAAACAAUCACCUCCUAGGGUCUAAAGAGAUUGAGAGUUUAUAUCUGUGGAUGAGAAAAUUAUGUUUCCAUCUACAGUCCCAGACUGCCAAGUUACUAAGAAAUAUGGAAACGGACCUUUUUGAGCAAGAGGUGGAAAAAUCCAUAAAUCAACAGUGACUCUUGGAAAAAGCACACAUCUAAAACAAACUUAAAAGAUGAUCUUUAAGGGCAGCUUCAGGACUUUCCACUUGGGUUUCUCUGUACUACUCUGAUUAACUUUAUUACCUUCUACAGCGUCAUAACACAAAGGACAAGAAAUUGGAGGAAUGUGAUUACAUGGUGGCAUCCCUACCCAAAGGUCCUAGUUUUCAGAGACAUCCCCAAUUUCUGGUCAUGCCAUUGUUCUAACAGUCCAACAAAACAACCCCUGUAGCCUACUAGACCAUAAGGUCUAGACCCCUACUAGACCCCAUUACCCCUGUAGCCUACUAGACACUAAGGUCCUUCAGGGGAAGAUGGAAUCUACUACUUCUCUCUUCUUUACCUGAUACGGUAUCUGGCUCACAGUGUGCAGACACUACACUUAUCAAUCUCUCAUUCAAUUAAUGCAUAAAAUCAAAUCUAGUCUCCCAGUUUCUGCCAUCAAAGGCACAAGGGGGAAAAAAAAUCAGAAAAUGCAGCCACUUAUAAGUUAGUCUUUUAAAGGUCGGGUUGUAGAGCCAUUUAAAAAAAAAAUUUUUUUAACAUUGAUUUAUUUUUGAGGCAGAGAGAGGAAGAGCAUGAACAGGGGAGGGUCAGAGAAAGAGGGAGACACAGAAUCUGAAAUGGGCUCCAGGAUCUGAGCUGUCAGCACACAGCCUGACGCGGGGCUCCAACUCACAGACUGCAAGA